CCAGGCUGUUUUUGCCGUCCUCCCUGCUAAUGUUGACAUUGGUAGGGAGAGAGGAAAUCUGGAUAAAUAGAACUCUUUUCUUGGCGUUGUUAAAUAUAUUACUAAAAAGAGCAAAGGGUGUUUUCGGAGCUAAAUAGAAGCAAAGUCUUUCUUUGGAACUUUGAAAGCCCAGGAAAACAAAAUAAAGGAAACAGUUUUAAGAAGAGACUUUCCUGUGAUGGGCUCUAUUCUCUGAAGUGUCCUGAAAACCCCAGUGUCUGCUGUGACCCAAUGCAGUUCUCACUCAGCCAUGUUAUCUCGGACUCACG